CCCAUUAUAUGGUAAAAAAUCACUUAAAUCUCAAGCCCUACUAUUUAUAAAACAGGAACCCAUCAAGAAGAUCUCUCUAUUCUCAGCGGUUUAUGUGAGGACAAACUUUCACUCUCACAAAGAAACAGGAAAGCAUGUUGUGUCAAGUUGAAAAUUAAUUUUUUUUUUUCCUAAUAUUAUGCAAUUGUAUAUCUUACAUUUUAGCCACAAUCCUUGGACAGGUGUAAGCCAGUUGUGUUCGAUAAAAGCCAAGAGGUCAUCAUUGGCGUUCAUCUUACCUGUUCCAUCACUCUGUUCCAGUACAGAGAGGCUGGUUACUGUACUCACAUAAUCCCGGUUGGUUGCUGCUGUGAUGGCAGAUGCGCAUUCAAACAGAAAGAUGAUGAACAUUAUGAUAAGGGCAGCAAAGAUGCCAAAGAUGCAUGUGAGGAAGAAGGCAAAGCCUGUAAAAAUGGCAAUCCAGGCCGCAGCAAAGAUGUCAUCUUUUCCCGACACACCAGAUAUGGGGUAGAGUUUAUACCCGUC